rnacentral:rRNA from 1 species
GGGAAUGUUCGUAUGCCCUGGGUUAGUCGGGACCUAAACUGAGUCCGAAAGGCGUAUGUGAGGGACUACAGGUUGCUAUGCCUGUGCUACCGAAAACAGUUAGAGAGAAGCAAUGACUCUGUCGGAUAAGCUAAGCACACUGUUGGUUAUGUGUGCCCCAGCAUUGAGGCAGUCAAAGUAGGCAAAUCCGCUUUGAUAAUGCUGUGAUGUGAUGGGGAGCGAAAUUUAGUAGCGAAGUAGCUGAUUUCACACUGUCAAGAAAAGUCUCUAUCGAGGUGAAAGGUACCCGUACCGCAAACCGACACGGGUGGGUGAGGAGAGUAUCCUAAGGCCAGCGCGAGAACUGUUGUUAAGGAACGCGGAAAAAUGACCCCGUAACUUAGGGCUAAGGGGUGCCACCAUCAGGUGGCAGCAGAGAAUGGGCCCAAGGCACGGAGUACCCAACACGAAGGU